GAUGAACGCUGGCGGCGUGCCUAAUACAUGCAAGUCGAGCGAACAGACGAGGAGCUUGCUCCUUUGACGUUAGCGGCGGACGGGUGAGUAACACGUGGGUAACCUACCUAUAAGACUGGGAUAACUUCGGGAAACCGGAGCUAAUACCGGAUAAUAUUUCGAACCGCAUGGUUCGAUAGUGAAAGAUGGCUCUGCUAUCACUUAUAGAUGGACCGGCGCCGUAUUAGCUAGUUGGUAAGGUAACGGCUUACCAAGGCAACGAUACGUAGCCGACCUGAGAGGGUGAUCGGCCACACUGGAACUGAGACACGGUCCAGACUCCUACGGGAGGCAGCAGUAGGGAAUCUUCCGCAAUGGGCGAAAGCCUGACGGAGCAACGCCGCGUGAGUGAUGAAGGUCUUCGGAUCGUAAAACUCUGUUAUUAGGGAAGAACAAACGUGUAAGUAACUGUGCACGUCUUGACGGUACCUAAUCAGAAAGCCACGGCUAACUACGUG
rnacentral:rRNA from 1 species